ACCAGACUCCUACGGGAGGCAGCAGUGGGGAAUAUUGCACAAUGGGGGGAACCCUGAUGCAGCGACGCCGCGUGGGUGAAGGAGUAUUUCGGUAUGUAAAGCCCUAUCAGCAGGGAAGAACAAUGACGGUACCUGACUAAGAAGCACCGGCUAAAUACGUGCCAGCAGCCGCGGUAAUACGUAUGGUGCAAGCGUUAUCCGGAUUUACUGGGUGUAAAGGGAGCGCAGGCGGCGCGUUAAGCCUGGUGUGAAAGCCCGGGGCUCAACCCCGGGACUGCAUUUGAAACUGUCAGGCUGGAGUGCAGGAGAGGUAAGUGGAAUUCCUAGUGUAGCGGUGAAAUGCGUAGAUAUUAGGAGGAACACCAGUGGCGAAGGCGGCUUACUGGACUGUAACUGACGUUGAGGCUCGAAAGCGUGGGGAGCGAACAGGAUUAGAUACCCCCGUAGUG
rnacentral:rRNA from 1 species